AGUGAACGCUGGCGGUAGGCCUAACACAUGCAAGUCGAACGGCAGCACAGUAAGAGCUUGCUCUUACGGGUGGCGAGUGGCGGACGGGUGAGGAAUACAUCGGAAUCUACUUUUUCGUGGGGGAUAACGUAGGGAAACUUACGCUAAUACCGCAUACGACCUACGGGUGAAAGCAGGGGAUCUUCGGACCUUGCGCGAUUGAAUGAGCCGAUGUCGGAUUAGCUAGUUGGCGGGGUAAAGGCCCACCAAGGCGACGAUCCGUAGCUGGUCUGAGAGGAUGACAGGAAAAACGGAAAAGAGGAACGGGUCAAGAAUCCAAGGGGGGGAAGAAGGGGGAAUAUUGGACAAUGGGAGCAAGCCUGAUCCAGCCAUCCCGGGGGGGGGAAGAAGGCCGUCGGGUUGUAAAGCCCUUUUGUGGGGAAAAAAAAGCAGCAGGUUAAAACCCCGCUGUUGUGACGGUACCCAAAAAAAAAACACCGGAUAAUUUCGU
rnacentral:rRNA from 1 species